rnacentral:lncRNA from 1 species
UAUGUAACCCCAUCUCAAUAAGGUACUUGUCUUUUGUAAUGUAUUAUAAGGUUUUCUGGUAGUUUCAUUUAUUAAGAUUAUACUGUUUGCGGCCAAAUUAUUAGAGUUCUAUCUAAGGUAUUUGGAAUUGUGAUAAUUUUUUCGUAUAUUUUCAUACAAGUUUGCCCAUUUUAUGAAAGUUAUUUUUCCUUGUUUCUUUGUACAAUAUUUUAUUUUGGCCUGAUUGAAAUCUGACAAUAUCAGAGCAUUAAGAUUAAUAUCUUUUGGUGAUUAUGUUAAGCCAUAGUUAUAAUUAUAUUUAACAUAAGGCAAUGGCUCAGUUUUGUAAUGGUUUGCAAUAGGCAUUUAUUACUUUAAUAUUAUACUUUGUGGCUUAGAUGAGUGUAAUUAUAAUAAUGCUUGUUACUAUGUAUUUUUAAUCACUAUGUUAUACUGAAUGGACAAAAGGAUACAUGUAGUUACUUCUUCCUUUUGGACAGACAAGUAAUAGUAGUUAUUAUGAAAUAAAUAAAUGCACAUCAUUAAAUAUUGUAUUUGUAAUAAUAUAUAUUGUCUUUAUUAGAAAAUUUCUAAUAUUUAUAAAGUAUUGGCAACUAUAAGUCUGACUCAAUAGCAUGGAUUUAUUCAAUUAUGAUUCUAGAUAUAUUUUCUAUUACAAAGCUUUUGAUCUCUAAACUGAAUAUAUUUUGUAAUUUAUUUUCUACUAAUUAGUUUUUAAUAGGUGCUACUGUCUCUGUAAUAUGUAAUAUAUGUCAUAUUGUAGUCUGGCUAUAAAAAUAAAAUAAUGUUUGUAUCAAUGUAAUAUGUUUGCAGUAUUGUUCUUUUUAUUAAUAUUAUGACUAAAGAAUGAAUUGGGUUGAAAUUCAGCAAUACAUUGUAAUGUAUCAUCUAUAGGUACUAAGUAUCCUAAAAACUGUUUGGCCGACUGUUUUUUAAAAGAGGAGUAUAAUAACUAAGUAUAUUUAACUAGAUAAGCCAUAAUAUGUAAUAACCAAGGUCACUGUAUUUAGUGUGAACCAAGCAGUUGCAAACAUGUUUAACCCAUUGUAAAUGUCUGGGUGUAUUUAUAUUGGUGAAGGAUAUACCAUAACCAAGGUCACUGUAUUUAGUGUGAACCAAGUAGUUGCAAACAUGUUUAAACCAUAGUAAAUGUCUGGGUGUAUUUAUGUAGGUGAAGGAUAAUUACCAUAACCAAGGUCACUGUAUUUAGUGUGAACCAAGUAGUUGCAAACAUGUUUAACCUAUAGUAAAUGUCUGGGUGUAUUUAUGUAGGUGAAGGAUAUACCAUAACCAAGGUCACUGUAUUUAGUGUGAACCCAGUAGUUGCAAACAUGUUUAACCCAUUGUAAAUGUCUGGGUGUAUUUAUGUAGGUGAAGGAUAUACCAUAACCAAGGUCACUGUAUUUAGUGUGAACCAAGUAGUUACAAACAUGUUCAACCCAUUGUAAAUGUCUGGGUGUAUUUAUAUUGGUGAAGGAUAUACCAUAACCAAGGUCACUGUAUUUAGUGUGAACCAAGUAGUUGCAAAUAUGUUUAAACCAUAGUAAAUGUCUGGGUGUAUUUAUGUAGGUGAAGGAUAUACCAUAACCAAGGUCACUGUAUUUAGUGUGAACCAAGUAGUUGCAAACAUGUUUAACCUAUAGUAAAUGUCUGGGUGUAUUUAUGUAGGUGAAGGAUAUACCAUAACCAAGGUCACUGUAUUUAGUGUGAACCAAGUAGUUGCAAACAUGUUUAACCCAUUGUAAAUGUCUGGGUGUAUUUAUGUAGGUGAAGGAUAUACCAUAACCAAGGUCACUGUAUUUAGUGUGAACCAAGUAGUUGCAAACAUGUUUAACCCAUUGUAAAUGUCUGGGUGUAUUUAUGUUGGUGAGGGAUAUACCAUAAGUAAGGUCUGUGUUUUGUGUGAAACGAGUACUGUCUAUCUAAAAUCUAUAGUAUAGAAAUAAGAACCUAUUAUUUGAUGGUCUAUGAAUUGGAAUAUGCUCAUGUUAAAUUUAUUCUUAGUCAGUCUUAGGGGAUAUGACUUGAUGAUAUUGUAAUAAUCUCUUUGUAAUAUGUAAUGAAGACUUACUUAGCAUGUACUUAUUAAGUCAGAGUUUUUUAGAACAACAUUUAUUUAUUGAAUAAUCCUUGUGAAUCAAUUUUGGUAAUAUUUUUUUAUUUUAAUAUGGCUGUGUUUGUCACAAUCUGGCUUCAAUAUGUUCAGCUAUUUUUGCCUAAUCUAUUCAUGUAAGAGUAAAGUUUUCUUGGCUAGGGUGUAUGUCCUAUGGUCAAAUACACUAUAUGUUAUAACUGGGUGUGUUCCCGAUAUAUCUAUUCUACAUAUAUUUUAAAGUAUCUAGGUGAUUUUUAUGGAAAUAAAGGUUUCAAAUGGUA